UUUGAUUUGAUUUGAUUUGAUUUGAUUUACACUGCAGCUAAGACUUAACAUGGUUUCUUCACCUCUUCCACCUCCACAGCAGCUACACUUCUCCCUCUAGUCUUUUCACUCAGUGGUUUGGGAGGAGCUGGUCUAUUGGCCAAUGGCCCUGUCGGCCUCCCUCUGAAAUUCCUGGCUGGGGAGCUGCUCUCCUCUGAGCCCAGGCCUGGUCCCCAGCUGGUGUCUGGGUCUGUAUUUAAAGGCAGCAACCUCAGCUAACAGUAGAAGUCUGAAGACAGGCUACAGGCUGACUAGACACACAGAUUUUAAUCUCCAUCCUGUCCUAUGAAAAGCGUGGAUCUCCAGAUGUGCUGAUGUUGGAAACUGUGAGAGGAAGCACCUGAAGGAAAACCCACAAGGACCCAGAAAGAACAUGCAAACUCCACAUGGGAAGGCCUUCAUAAGAACACCCAACAUUUCCCCCAUGAGCAGGACAGACUGGUGACAGCGGCAAGAAAACUGCCUUUUAACAUCUGCCAACUACCUGGAUCGGUUGGGUUGAGAGAGAGAUGUCAUGAUGUCAUCAUCAGGGUCUUUCCAGGCACUCACUUACAUGACUGUCAUACCACAAGAUGUUUGCGUGGAAGAUGAGAGCAGCCGAGCGUAGUGAGCCGACAGAAGCAGACAGAGAGGAAGAGGCGGGCAGGGAGGAAAAAAAAAGAGAUUCAGAGAGAAUGAGUGGGAGGUGGAGGAGGAGGAGGAGGGAGCCAGAGACUGGCAGACUUUUACUGUACACCUCCUUGGUACGUUUUCAAGGUGCAGAAUGACACUUCCUAUCACUAUAUCGAGGGAAGUGGAGCGUGUCAGCUCUUGUGCUCGCUCACCCCAUCUUGCACGCAGAGCGAUUACCACUGGCACACAUCCCCUCGUUGCCUCACCAGCACCAGUCCGCCUGCAAUUCACUGAAAUCAGCCAGCAAACCUGUGACUCAUCAUUUAGAGUAAUAGGCCUGUCCUGUAUUCGCCUCAGGAGUCUCACUGCUUGUAGGAGGCGUAAAGGAGCACGGGGCGAUGACUAAACAGAGCACCUCAUUACAGCGGAGAGGACAUCACAGAAAUCGUCUCACCUUUUCAUUAGGAUGAAUCAGAAAAGCAGAAGCUUAGGAUCAGCCAGGAGCGGCUGCAGACGUUUUAUAACCUGGAAGAUGUUUCAACUAGCAGAGCACAGUGAACAGGGAUACAUGUUACAAGCAGCCUUAAGGAAAGCAAAGAAUGAAAUGUACUUUGCGCCCUCUAAAUGAUAAAGGGUAAAAUCGCCCACAAAACAUAUAUUUUUCAACAAAAUAAGGACAUUUUAAAUAUUUUCAUCAAGAUUUUAUAGAUAUUCUCCCAGUACAUCUUUUUUUUCUGUGACCAAAAAUACAUCUGUCCUCUGCAGUGGAUGUUGUGCACCAAAGGAUAUAUUCUGCCAAGUGGUCCCAUAUUUAGACAAAAUGGGAAGAUUGCCAUUUAAUAAAUUCAUCCAAGUGUAAACUAGAAUGCCACUCGGUAAAGAACAUACCUCUGCCAAGGCCCAACGGUCCAUCUGAUCCAAUCAAGCCCAAUCCAGCAUCAAAUCUGCUAGAUCUGCAAAAAUCUCACAGUGUUGAGGUGACUGGUCUGUAUAUCUGGAUCCCCAACAAAAGCUAAUGCAGAGACCCAUCCUCCAUCCACAUUUGGUGAAAAUGAGCCUUUUCUGUGUAAUCCUGCUGCCGAACUAAGCAACAAACAAACAUGCAAGACAACAUUACCUCCCUGGUGGAAGUAAUCGUAAAACACAUCAAAAUAAGGCAAAAUCUGAAUAUUCAGAAUUUACCCCUUGGUGCAUAACACCUGAGCACUGUGGACAGAUGUAUUUUUAAAGAAGAAUAAGAAGAAUCUUCAUCAAUCUUCAAGAAAACAUCAAUACAAAAAACUGGUUAAUAGUAUUUCUAACACUGUUUUUAGUUACCCGUUGAAAUAAGAGGAUUCAACAGUUAUUCCAUGGACACUCCUUGAAUUUAUGAUGCUAGAUCUAAAAUAUGACAAAGACACACAGAAAAAAAAUCCACUAGAGUCGGGGGUCCAUUGGGACCUGGUACUUCACCUUUAAAUGGUUCAAAAUGGCUUCCAAGUAUCUGUCCACUGCAGUGGACAUCAUGCAUGAAACGGUUAGAUACAACUGGCAUUUCCUGGAGAUUUUGGCAAUAACGUCGUCUGCCGUCUCUUCAGGGUAAUGAAACUUGAUGUCACUCAGCCUUUAGUACCAAAAAAUACAUUUGAAAACCUCACCAGCGACGUCUCUUCCCGGAAGUUAUAAGUCACAUAAUUACAUAGUUGGCAUCAGUGAACAGGACGCUGUCUGAGAGUGAAGCGUCGAUCAGGAGGGCUGAUCGUCGCUGUGCUUGUUUUCAAGACAGUGACUACAACAACACAGUUGUGGAAAGAGGCAACACUUUGCGAGUUAAAGUGUUCUGCCGAGACAGAAGCUGUUUUUUGGGCAGAAGUGUGACGAAGAGUGGGUAGAACAUAUAAGUCAUACAAGUUACCAAAGACACUACCAGUUACUACAUUAGUGUUGUUUGGUCAUGUAAUGUUGCUUUUGACAUUUCUCUCAUUUCUCAGGCUGCCUUCGCCCCGCCGGCUUGUCCAUUCACACAGGUGCCAGUUCUGCCUCCAUAAGAGGUGCAGCGAAAUUUCACAGCUUGCCGCAUCUGAAACUUUCACUCAGUGGAGGAGGAUGCGUAGAAUCGGUGCAUGAUCCCACACUGAAAGGACAGCGUGAAUGAGGCUAAUGGAAGCUUAUGGGAGGAAGUCUUUUUGGGUUGGGCCACUCCCUAAAAUUUACUUCAAAUCCUGUCACUCUCCCUGGGUACUUCAAAUCCUGUCACUCUCCCUGGGGGCUUGAUUUACACCUGCUACUACUGGAAAUGUUCAUCUAUUCAUGGACAGGAAGCUUGUGUAAACACCAACAGUGUUCUCCUCAGCUGAGCUGUGAUGCUAGCUAGCUUAAUUAACUUAGCUAGCCGCUCAUCAAUGAGCAGAUACAUGUUUCCUUCCGCACGGUUUAAAUGUAAUAGCUCCACGUUGAAGCCGCUCACAACAACGUCUGUGGGUGAUGUUGAGCAACUGGGUCAACUGUUCCUUUUAAUAACUGUUUAUUUAGUUAAAGAGAGGUUGAACCGAGGCCCGGCUGAGAGGCUGUAUUGGCAGUUGCGUGCGCUCCAUAAAACCAUUGUUCCUUCAGCCCUGUGAUUUGCACUUAACUAACGGGGGUCGCGCUGCGUUGCCAUGACAACCCUUUCAGUAUAGAUGGCCUGUUUCUUUCCCGAUAGUCAGCACCAAUAGCAGGGCGCUGUGUGAUCAGCGGCUGGCCGGAACGUGAGGCGGCGUGUAGGGGAUGACAGACGGAGGUUCGCCCCUGGCUGCACUCACACCUCCAUCAGCUCCUUUGUACCUGCAUGUGUUUUUUUUUUCUCCCCCUCCAGCGUGUGCUGAGCUCGCCUUCAGCCCUGUUCGUCUCUUUGGCAACAACAAAGCCCUCGCUGUGUUGAUCUUUUCACUGUUGUCGUGUCAACACACGCACUGAAUGACUCUCCCCCCCCUCGUUUCCAGAGGCUGCCGUUCACAUGGCUCCUCGGCUUCGUGCUUGGGGGGGCGGUGAAACAGCAGCCGUCACCCCCGGCUCACAUAUCCGACACUGUGCUCAGAGGCUUUAAAGACCCUCCCGAGGUAAACACUCACAUGGUGGGGAGGCCGGUGUGCCUGAGCGGGAGGAUGAAACACUCUUGACAGCCUCCCCCUGCUUACCCCACCCCUCCUAACGCGUGUCUUUUUUUUUCUUUUUUCUUUUUUUCUUUUCCAGUGGAAGUAGAGAUAUCAAAAUACAAGUCUGCGCUCCAAAGAAGCUUCUAUGGGGCCUUUUUUUUUCUUUUCUACACGCUGGAACCUCCAGCUGUAAACGGCUCGCUCUCAGUUCCCGGAUCACAGAGCUCGUGUUGUUCCCGGGGUUUUUAAAAUCAGAGCAGGAGCACUGAGAGAACACUGAGCGCGUGCAUGUUUACACUUGUGUGAAAGGUGCAUUCACCCCCCACAAUCUGCUGUAACAUGACACUUUUAAUUUCAGAAAGAAAAAAAAAUAAAGGCGGAGUGGAAGGAGAGGUAGAGUGGUUUACACAAGUGUUUACAUUCAUUUCCUCCCCUCACACAUUCACAGCGAAGUGUUGUGGAGGGAGUGAUGAUGAGAUGUAUGAAUUAGAGUGCCGUGAUUCAUCUCCUCUCCUCAAGCACUCCAUGACAGCUCCCACCCCGUGAAGGCUGCCAGCUGCUCCUGCAAUACAUGUGUACAGGACCGUUACAGGUCUUCUCCUUAAAUAAAUAUCCUGCGUCCAUGACUCCUGUCUACAGCAGAUAG